GUUAUUCGUAGUAUUAUUCAGUGCCCCCUCUUCUCUUCUCUUCUCUUCCCCGAUCUCAAUUUCCUCUCUUCCCCUCUCUCUCUCUCUCUCUCCGCUGUUCCCGGCCACCGGAGCUACUUCUUCACUCUCCUCACACCCCAUUCUCCACCCCCUUUUCCCCUCAAUUUCAUCUCAUUCUUCGAUUCGAUUCCCACAACCUCUGUUUCUCGAUCGCUUUCUCCAUCUCUUACCGUUUUCCGGCGCCUCUUUGCUCUUCUUUUCCACCCUUCGCCGCCGAGUUAUAAUGUGACAUUGUUCCAAGGAAGUGUGAUACAUGGAAUCUGAAGAUAAGAAGUUUGGCCAAGGACCUAGGGAACUGACUGGUGCUGUGGAUCUUAUAAGUCACUACAAGCUGUUACCUCAUCAUGAGUUUUUCUGCAAGAAGUCACUUCCAUUGUCAAUUUCAGACACACAUUAUCUUCAUAACGUGGUUGGGGACACAGAAAUUAGAAAAGGGGAAGGGAUGCAAUUGAAUCAACUCAUACAGAAUCCUUCUUACCCUAGAGAGACUAAUGCUCGUAUACAGCCAUUUGACCAAGAUAUUCUCAUAGAAGCCUUCCAACUGAGGGAAACUGGUCCUGUUGAGCUGCCUCCUGCCGAGAAGGGUGUUCCUACUAUUCCAGGGAAGUCAAAAAGCGAGUCCAAAGAUAAAGACAGGAAGCAUAAAAAGCACAAAGAUAGGGAUAAGGAUAAGGAUAGAGAGCAUAAGAAGCACAAGCAUCGACAUAAAGACCGGAGUAAGGAUAAAGACAAGGACAAGAAGAAGGACAAAAGUACACAUCAAGAUUCUGGUGCUGACCAUUCAAAGAAGCAUCACGAAAAGAAAAGGAAGCAUGAUGGAGAAGAUGAUAUUAAUGACAUUCAUAGGCACAAAAAAAAUAAGCAUAAGGCCGCAAAAAUUGAAGAAAUGGGAGUGAUAAAGGUAGCGGGCUGACAUUGUGGAAUAAUCUAGGUCAUUUAUUUCCUCAUAUGGUUGUUGAAAGAUUGCUGGAAUUUUCACUUAAUGUUGUCAAAAAAUACUUGAGCUUCUGAUGAGGGUGAAUUUACCAGUUUUAGGGGAGAUAUGUGGAAGCAAAUGUNAAAAAAAAAAAAAAAAAAAAAAAAAAAAAAAAAAAAAAAUUGGUGGAAAUGAACUUUUGUAUCAUAACAAACAAUGGGUCUGAUAUAUAAAUAUGAGCGAUUUGCAGGACUGGUUUCCUCAAUUUUCCACA